rnacentral:rRNA from 1 species
UAGGGAAUCUUCGGCAAUGGACGAAAGUCUGACCGAGCAACGCCGCGUGAGUGAAGAAGGUUUUCGGAUCGUAAAACUCUGUUGUUAGAGAAGAACAAGGACGUUAGUAACUGAACGUCCCCUGACGGUAUCUAACCAGAAAGCCACGGCUAACUACGUGCCAGCAGCCGCGGUAAUACGUAGGUGGCAAGCGUUGUCCGGAUUUAUUGGGCGUAAGCGAGCGCAGGCGGUUUCUUAAGUCUGAUGUGAAAGCCCCCGGCUCAACCGGGGAGGGGCAUUGGAAACUGGGAGAAUUGAGUGCAGAAGAGGAGAGUGGAAUUCCAUGUGUAGCGGUGAAAUGCGUAGAUAUAUGGAGGAACACCAGUGGCGAAGGCGGCUCUCUGGUCUGUAACUGACGCUGAGGCUCGAAAGCGUGGGGAGCAAACAGG